ensembl:lncRNA
CAUUGUGGCAGGCUAUUUUUACGAGUGUCCCCUCAGCCAUUAUCUCUCUGUUAUGGUUUAAGGAUAAAUACAACCCAGGACUACACAAUAUGGAGGGAAAUGUAUGUGUGUGUCGUGUCUGUGUGUGUACCUCUUUCUCUCUCUCUAUCCGAAAACGAAGUGUACUCACCUGCUCUGGCUACCCUACCUGUACUCACCUGCUCUGGCUACCCUACCUGUACUCACCUGCUCUGGCUACCCUACCUGUACUCACCUGCUCUGGCUACCCUACCAGUACUCACCUGCUCUGGCUACCCUACCUGUACUCACCUGCUCUGGGUACCAUACCAGUACUCACCUGCUCUGGCUACCCUAUCAGUACUCACCUGCUCUGGCUACCCUACCAGUACUCACCUGCUCUGGCUACCCUACCUGUACUCACCUGCUCAGGCUACCCUACCUGUACUCACCUGCUCUGGCUACCCUACCUGUACUCACCUGCUCUGGCUACCCUACCUGUACUCACCUGCUCUAUCUACACUACCCGUACUCACCUGCUCUAUCUACCGUACCAGUACUCACCUGCUCUGGCUACCCUACCAGUACUCACCUGCUCUGGCUACCCUACCAGUACUCACAUGCUCUGGCUACCCUACCUUUACUCACCUGCUCUGACUACCCUACCAGUACUCACUUGCUCUGGCUACCCUACCAGUACUCACCUGCUCUGGCUACCCCACCUGUACUCACCUGCUCUGGCCACCCUACCUGUACUCACCUGCUCUGGCUACCCUACCUGUACUCACCUGCUCUAUCUACACUACCCGUACUCACCUGCUCUAUCUACCGUACCAGUACUCACCUCCUCUGGCUACCCUACCCGUACUCACCUGCUCUGUCUACCGUACCAGUACUCACCUGCUCUGGCUACCUUACCCGUACUCACCUGCUCUAUCUACCCUACCCGUACUCACCUGCUCUAUCUACACUACCCGUACUCACCUGCUCUAUCUACCGUACCAGUACUCACCUGCUCUGGCUCCCCUACCCGUACUCACCUGCUCUAUCUACCGUACCAGUACUCACCUGCUCUAUCUACACUACCCGUACUCACCUGCUCUAUCUACCGUACCAGUACUCACCUGCUCUGGCUCCCCUACCCGUACUCACCUGCUCUGGCUACCCUACCCGUACUCACCUGCUCUGGCUACCCUACCCGUACUCACCUGCUCUGGCUACCCCACCUGUACUCACCUGCUCUAUCUACCGUACCAGUACUCACCUGCUCUGGCUACCCUACCCGUACUCACCUGCUCUGGGUACCCUACCCGUACUCACCUGCUCUGGCUACCCAACCGUACUCACCUGCUCUGGGUACCCUACCCGUACUCACCUGCUCUGGCUACCCUACCUGUACUCACCUGCUCUAUCUACCGUACCAGUACUCAACUGCUCCGUCCUCAACCGUAAGGCUCUCCAGAGGGUAGUGAGGUCUGCACAACGCAUCACCGGGGGCAAACUACCUGCCCUCCAGGACACCUACACCACCCGAUGUUACAGGAAGGCCAUAAAGAUCAUCAAGGACAUCAACCACCCGAGCCACUGCCUGUUCACCCCGCUAUCAUCCAGAAGGCGAGGUCAGUACAGGUGCAUCAAAGCUGGGACCGAGAGACUGAAAAACAGCUUCUAUCUCAAGGCCAUCAGACUGUUAAACAGCCACCACUAACAUUGAGUGGCUGCUGCCAACACACUGACACUGUCUCAACUCCAGCCACUUUAAUAAUGGGAAUUGAUGGGAAAUGAUGUAAAUAUAUCACUAGCCACUUUAAACAAUGCUACCUUAUAUAAUGUUACUUACCCUACAUUAUUCAUCUCAUAUGCAUACGUAUAUACUGUACUCUAUAUCAUCGACUGUAUCCUUAUGUAAUACAUGUAUCACUAGCCACUUUAACUAUGCCACUUUGUUUACAUACUCAUCUCAUAUGUAUAUACUGUACUCGAUACCAUCUACUGUAUCUUGCCUAUGCUGCUCUGUACCAUCACUCAUUCAUAUAUCCUUAUGUACAUAUUCUUUAUCCCCUUACACUGUGUAUAAGACAGUAGUUUUGGAAUUGUUAGUUAGAUUACUUGUUGGUUAUUACUGCAUUGUCGGAACUAGAAGCACAAGCAUUUCGCUACACUCGCAUUAACAUCUGCUAACCAUGUGUAUGUGACAAAUAAAAUUUGAUUUGAUUUGAUUUGAUAAAAGGGGUUGCAGUCUGCCGUGAAGCUUUCAUCCAUGUAUACAGGUAAGAAUAUAGCUACAGAUUCAGAUAUUAUACGUUUCUAAUGUUGUCCGAAAGUUGUUUUCAUUG